UACGGGGGGAGCAAGCGUUGUUCGGAUUUACUGGGCGGAAAGGGCGCGUAGGCGGCCACCGCAAGUCGACUGUGAAAUCUCCGGGCUUAACCCGGAAAGGUCAGCCGAUACUGCGGGGCUAGAGUGCAGAAGGGGCAACUGGAAUUCUCGGUGUAGCGGUGAAAUGCGCAGAUAUCAGGAGGAACACCGGUGGCGAAGGCGGUGGUCUGGGCCGGCACUGACGCUGAGGAGCGAAAGCGUGGGUAGCAAACAGG
rnacentral:rRNA from 1 species